rnacentral:rRNA from 1 species
UACGUAGGUGGCAAGCGUUGUCCGGAAUUAUUGGGCGUAAAGCGCGCGCAGGCGGUCUUUUAAGUCUGAUGUGAAAGCCCACGGCUCAACCGUGGAAGGUCAUUGGAAACUGGGAGACUUGAGUACAGAAGAGGAAAGCGGAAUUCCACGUGUAGCGGUGAAAUGCGUAGAGAUGUGGAGGAACACCAGUGGCGAAGGCGGCUUUCUGGUCUGUAACUGACGCUGAGGCGCGAAAGCGUGGGGAGCAAACAGG